CAUUUUGGGCACAAAUAUUAUUUCAGGAGAAUCUGGGUGUAUUUGUAGAUGUGAGAAUCCACAGGCCAGAACUAUUGAAACAGGUGACACAUGUUGAGUAUGAAAUUGCUCAUGAAAUCUGUACUAAAAACCAGACAAUUAAAUUUUAUCAAAAUGUUGACUAUAGUGAAUCACUUGAUUAUAUGAAGACAAUCUCUCUCAUUUAUUUGUUGGGUGUCCUCCAUCAAGACAUAUUGUCAUUCAAAAGU
rnacentral:lncRNA from 1 species